rnacentral:rRNA from 1 species
GAUGAACGCUGGCGGCGUGCCUAAUACAUGCAAGUCGAGCGAACAGAUAAGGAGCUUGCUCCUUUGACGUUAGCGGCGGACGGGUGAGUAACACGUGGGUAACCUACCUAUAAGACUGGAAUAACUCCGGGAAACCGGGGCUAAUGCCGGAUAACAUUUAGAACCGCAUGGUUCUAGAGAGAAAGAUGGUUUUGCUAUCACUCACAGAUGGACCCGCGCCGUAUUAGCUAGUUGGUAAGGUAACGGCUUACCAAGGCAACGAUACGUAGCCGACCUGAGAGGGUGAUCGGCCACACUGGAACUGAGACACGGUCCAGACUCCUACGGGAGGCAGCAGUAGGGAAUCUUCCGCAAUGGGCGAAAGCCUGACGGAGCAACGCCGCGUGAGUGAUGAAGGUCUUCGGAUCGUAAAACUCUGUUAUUAGGGAAGAACAAAUGUGUAAGUAACUGUGCACGUCUUGACGGUACCUAAUCAGAAAGCCACGGCUAACUACGUG